UCCCAGACUCCUACGGGAGGCAGCAGUGGGGAAUAUUGGGCAAUGGGCGCAAGCCUGACCCAGCAACGCCGCGUGAAGGAAGAAGGCUUUCGGGUUGUAAACUUCUUUUCUCAGGGACGAAGCAAGUGACGGUACCUGAGGAAUAAGCCACGGCUAACUACGUGCCAGCAGCCGCGGUAAUACGUAGGUGGCAAGCGUUAUCCGGAUUUACUGGGUGUAAAGGGCGUGUAGGCGGGAAAGCAAGUCAGAUGUGAAAACCAUGGGCUCAACCUGUGGCCUGCAUUUGAAACUGGGUGUCUUGAGGGCAGGAGAGGAAAGUGGAAUUCCUAGUGUAGCGGUGAAAUGCGUAGAUAUUAGGAGGAACACCAGUGGCGAAGGCGACUUUCUGGACUGUACCUGACGCUGAGGCGCGAAAGCGUGGGUAGCGAACGGGAUUAGAUACCCGAGUACC
rnacentral:rRNA from 1 species